rnacentral:rRNA from 1 species
UCCACGCCCUAAACGAUGGAUGCUAGUCGUUGGACGCAAGUUCAGUGACGCAGUUAACACGAUAAGCAUCCCGCCUGGGGAGUACGAUCGCAAGAUUAAAACUCAAGGGAAUAGACGGGGACCCGAACAAGUGGUGGAGCAUGUGGUUUAAUUCGAAAAUACGCGAAGAACCUUACCUGGGCUUGACAUACGAAGAAUCUUCCAGAGACGGAGGAGUGCCUGCUUGCAGGAGCUUUGAUACAGGUGCUGCACUGCUGUCGUCAGCUCGUGUCGUGAGAUGUUGGGUUAAGUCCCGCAACGAGCGCAACCCCUAUUAUUAGUUGCUAACGGCUAGGCCGAGCACUCUAAUGAGACUGCCUGGGUAACC